GGUUCCGUAGUGUAGUGGUUAUCACGUUCGCUUUACACGCGAAAGGCCGCGCUUCGAUCCCGGGCGGAACCA